rnacentral:rRNA from 1 species
UACGGGGGGCGGCAGUAGGGAAUUUUCGGCAAUGGACGAAAGUCUGACCGAGCAAUGCCGCGUGAAUGAAGACGAUCUUCGGAUUGUAAAGUUCUGUUAUUGGGAAAGAAAGUGCAUAUUAGGAAAUGAAUAUGUAUUGACGGUACCCAUUGAGGAAGCCCCGGCUAACUAUGUGCCAGCAGCCGCGGUAAUACAUAGGGGGCGAGCGUUAUCCGGAAUUAUUGGGCGUAAAGCGUGCGUAGGCGGAAUGUUAAGUCAUUUGUAAAAGAUCUCGGCCCAACCGAGUAAGGCGAAUGAAACUGGCAAUCUUGAGUACGGUAGAGGUAAGUGGAAUUCCAAGUGUAGCGGUGGAAUGCGUAGAUAUUUGGAGGAACACCGAUGGCGAAGGCAGCUUACUGGGCCGGAACUGACGCUGAGGCACGAAAGCGUGGGUAGCAAACAGGAUUAGAUACCCUGGUAGUCCACGCCGUAAACGAUGAGAACUAAGUGUCGGGGUAACACUCGGUGCUGAAGUUAACGCAAUAAGUUCUCCGCCUGGGUAGUACGGUCGCAAGACUGAAACUUAAAGGAAUUGACGG